UGAGUUUGCCCCUCUAUGCUCUUGAGCUAAUUCAAACAAAUUUAGCUUAUUAAAAUCCCAUCAUGCUAGAUUAUGGUCGAAUAUGACAAGAGAUUUACUAAGUCAUAUAGCUAUCUUUAGCUCAAAUACGAAUGGUCAUACCCAUUUUAAUCACUUUAAACAUUCUAAUACAAUUUAAUUAAACAUUUCUCCAAGUAUACCUUUAUGACCGAAUAUACAUAUCAAAUAAAUAGCUUACUUAAUACAUAAAUCACAUAGCCAAAGUACAUAUAACCCUAAUGACCGAAUAUGUAUAUCACCAAAAUUCCUGUGACUUAACCUUUAAC
rnacentral:lncRNA from 1 species